rnacentral:rRNA from 1 species
UACGAAGGGGGCUAGCGUUGCUCGGAAUGACUGGGCGUAAAGGGCGCGUAGGCGGUUCAUACAGUCAGAUGUGAAAUUCCUGGGCUCAACCUGGGGGCUGCAUUUGAUACGUGUGGACUAGAGUGGGGAAGAGGGUCGUGGAAUUCCCAGUGUAGAGGUGAAAUUCGUAGAUAUUCGGAAGAACACCAGUGGCGAAGGCGACUUACUGGACACAUAUUGACGCUGAGGUGCGAAAGCGUGGGGAGCAAACAGG